GGGGGGGGGGGGGGGGGGGGGGGGGGGGGGGGGGUCUCCUGAGAGCUAAAGCUGUAGCACACAUAAUUGUAAUUUGACGACGGUCGGCAAAAAGCUCCAGAGUUGUUUAAAGUGGUUGCAGUAACCUUUCUAUUUUUUUGUUUACUUAAUUUCUACAUAAUUCACCUUUAACUAUGUUUCUAUCUUUUUACAGGAGGCUGUGAUUAGUGGAUGGUGAGCCUGACCUAAUAAGACUAGGCUAAACAAAGAUGUGCAGCACUCAUGCUGAUGCCACGGCCGUCAGACGUGAUGUUAUUGGUUAAGUUGGUGGUUCUGAAGAGAAGACAGUCCACAUGGCCAAUCUCACUUCUCUAACUGCAGAAGAGGAGCUCCAGAUAAAAUUUCUACAUGCGGUCCUCUUUCAGCGGUUUUAGCUCAUGGAAAGCUUCAGUUACUAUUUAAAAAUUCUCAACACAAGUAGUAGAUCAAUUAAGGCUAUACAAAUAAAGUUAACUCCUUUAAGUCCUGUCCUGCUGUAAAGCAACCAGAACUGACGUCUGAGUACAGAAAACAGUUUUACUCUCACAGGUAGAGCGUUAUAGAUUCAGUCGUAAUCCUACACCUGAUAUCUAAACUUUAUUAGAGAUGCUUUUGGUUGUUUUUGUUCCCAAAGGACACGGAGACGGAGAGGAAAGAGAAAGGGGGAGCGGAAAGGGAGAGAUGGGGAGAGUUCGCAAAAAUAAACAAUAAAGGAUGAACAAGAAGCAGCUUCUAGAUCUGCAGAAAGUAGACACAAAUCCAACAGAACCAGAACAUCACUAACAGUUCUAAUGGAUGGUUGGUUGUGUUUUUGUCAUCCAGACUUUCAUCUCCUUGCUCUCUCAGCCUCUCUCUGAAUUUUAUUGAUACGGUGACUGAGCUCUGGAUCCGGCCAAUGCAUUUUAUCCGGCCGAUGCUUUUUAUCUUCCCCCCUGGGCUGUCCAAUGGGAUGUGUGUUGGCUGCAGCUGUGGGGUAGGUGUGAUUA
rnacentral:lncRNA from 1 species